AGGAUGAACGCUGGCGGCGUGCCUAACACAUGCAAGUCGCACGAGAAAGUGGAGCAAUCCACGAGUAAAGUGGCGCACGGGUGAGUAACACGUGAAUAAUCUACCUCCGAGUGGGGAAUAACUGAGAGAAAUCUUAGCUAAUACCGCAUAAUACCCACGGGUCAAAGCAGCAAUGCGCUUGGAGAGGAGUUCGCGGCCGAUUAGCUAGUUGGCGGGGUAAUGGCCCACCAAGGCGAUGAUCGGUA
rnacentral:rRNA from 1 species